rnacentral:rRNA from 1 species
ACGGAGGGUGCAAGCGUUAUCCGGAAUCAUUGGGUUUAAAGGGUCCGCAGGCGGACUAAUAAGUCAGUGGUGAAAUCCCAUCGCUUAACGAUGGAACUGCCAUUGAAACUGUUAGUCUUGAAUUCGGUCGAAGUGGGCGGAAUAUGUCAUGUAGCGGUGAAAUGCUUAGAUAUGACAUAGAACACCGAUAGCGAAGGCAGCUCACUAGGCCUGGAUUGACGCUCAGGGACGAAAGCGUGGGGAGCGAACAGG